rnacentral:rRNA from 1 species
UGGGGAAUUUUGGACAAUGGGCGAAAGCCUGAUCCAGCAAUGCCGCGUGUGUGAAGAAGGCCUUCGGGUUGUAAAGCACUUUUUGUCCGGAAAGAAAUCCUUGGCUCUAAUACAGCCGGGGGGAUGACGGUACCGGAAGAAUAAGCACCGGGCUAACUACGUGCCAGCAGCCGCGGUAAUACGUAGGGUGCAAGCGUUAAUCGGAAUUACUGGGCGUAAAGCGUGCGCAGGCGGUUUGCUAAGACCGAUGUGAAAUCCCCGGGCUCAACCUGGGAACUGCAUUGGUGACUGGCAGGCUAGAGUAUGGCAGAGGGGGGUUAGAAUUCCACGUGUAGCAGUGAAAUGCGUAGAGAUGUGGAGGAAUACCGAUGGCGAAGGCAGCCCCCUGGGCCAAUACUGACGCUCAUGCACGAAAGCGUGGGGAGCAAACAGGAUUAGAUACCCUGGGUAGUCCACGCCCCUAAACGAUGUCAACUAGUUGUUGGGGGACUUCAUUUUCCUUAGUAACGUAGCUAACGCGUGAAGUUGACCGCCU